rnacentral:misc_RNA from 1 species
GAUGAAGAACGCAGCGAAAUGCGAUAAGUAAUGUGAAUUGCAGAAUUCAGUGAAUCAUCGAAUCUUUGAACGCACAUUGCGCCCCCUGGUAUUCCGGGGGGCAUGCCUGUUCGAGCGUCAUUUCACCACUCAAGCCUCGCUUGGUAUUGGGCAACGCGGUCCGCCGCGUGCCUCAAAUCGACCGGCUGGGUCUUCUGUCCCCUAAGCGUUGUGGAAACUAUUCGCUAAAGGGUGUUCGGGAGGCCACGCCGUAAAACAACCCCAUUUCUAAGGUUGACCUCGGAUCAGGUAGGGAUACCCGCUGAACUUAAGCAUAUCAAUAAGCGGAGGA